ACAUAUACGUUACAGUUUGAGAAGCCGUGGUUAGUUCAUAUCCAGCAGUGUCGGGAGGCCGGGGAUAUGUAGAGCAAUAGCUUUCUAACCAAUUUUUUCAUCUUUUUUUGUACGGCUUACUAGUCCUGCCAAACUGUGCCAAAUUCAUAUUCCAUCUUACUGUGGGAGUGGUCUUACUAAAACAGAACUCUGGCCUCUUCACUCUCCCAUGGGUUGAUGGUUCCCUGUUGCCUAAAGGAUGAAGGACUAACUUCUUGCAGCGGCAGUUAAAUCCCUUCCCACUAUGGUCCAAACCCAUCUUCCCGCCCACUGUGCCUGUAGCUGUGAUGCUGUGGCCACCAUGGGCAAUGCCUGUCAUUUCCCAAGGGCAGGAUUCACUUGGAGGCCUCCUCUCCUAAUUCCAAGAAAUGACUCCUUCCCCAUGGGGCACUGUCUUUUCGUCAUCUUCUCCAACUUACUGAAGCUCCCCUGCCUGGAAUGUUCUUGUCUGUCUCCAAAACCCUACUCAGUCUUCAAGACUGAGUUCUACUGUCAUUGUCAGAAUGUGUGCAGAUCAAGCUCCUGGUGGAUAAGCAUCUCAGAGCCAAGAACUUGGGUUCUUCCCCGACCCACCAACAACCAUCUAACUCUCCUUGGGCAAGUCACCUGGGUUCUUGAGCUUGGGCACUCCUAUCAACCCCAUCUAGGUAAAGGAGAUAACAAAGGUGCCGACCUCAGAGAAUUGUCACGAGGAUUCCUUGGGUCUACUGUACCUGGCAUAGUGACUGGCACAUAGUAAAUGCUCAAUAAAACUUAGCCAAACCCACUACAGUGUAAACCCACUUCAGCAUAAAUUCCGUAGAGAAAAGUGCCUAUGUCUGUUUUAUUCACCAUUAUAAUCGCAGUACCUAACUCAGUUCCUGAUGCACAGUGUGUGCUCAAAAAAUAUUUGCUAAAUAAAUGAACAUCUAAAAAGUGUUAUGUAAAUUGUAAAGCUCUGUGCAAAUACAAGGUUGCUAUUUUGCUUAUUUGUUUUUAUUUUAG
rnacentral:lncRNA from 1 species